rnacentral:rRNA from 1 species
GAUGAACGCUGGCGGCGUGCUUAACACAUGCAAGUCGAACGAUGAAGCCCAGCUUGCUGGGUGGACUAGUGGCGAACGGGUGAGUAACACGUGAGUAACCUGCCCUUAACUCUGGGAUAAGCCUGGGAAACUGGGUCUAAUACCGGAUAGGAGCGCCUACCGCACGGUGGGUGUUGGAAAGAUUUAUCGGUUUUGGAUGGACUCGCGGCCCAUCAGCUUGUUGGUGGGGUAAUGGCUCACCAAGGCGACGACGGGUAGCCGGCCUGAGAGGGUGACCGGCCACACUGGGACUGAGACACGGCCCAGACUCCUACGGGAGGCAGCAGUGGGGAAUAUUGCACAAUGGGCGAAAGCCUGAUGCAGCAACGCCGCGUGAGGGAUGACGGCCUUCGGGUUGUAAACCUCUUUCAGUAGGGAAGAAGCGAAAGUGACGGUACCUGGAAAAGAAGCACCGGCUAACUACGUG